GAAAUGCGAUAAGUAGUGUGAAUUGCAGAAUUCAGUGAAUCAUCGAAUCUUUGAACGCACAUUGCGCCCUUUGGUAUUCCAAAGGGCAUGCCUGUGCGAGCGUCAUUUGUACCCUCAAGCUUUGCUUGGUGUUGGGCGUCUUGUCUCUAGCUUUGCUGGAGACUCGCCUUAAAGUAAUUGGCAGCCGGCCUACUGGUUUCGGAGCGCAGCACAAGUCGCACUCUCUAUCAGCAAAGGUCUAGCAUCCAUUAAGCCUUUUUUUCAACUUUUGACCUCGGAUCAGGUAGGGAUACCCGCUGAACUUAAGC
rnacentral:misc_RNA from 1 species